AUACUUACCUGGCAGGGGCGAUACCAUGAUCACGAAGGUGGUUCACCCAGGGUGAGGCUCUGCCAUUGCACUUGGGUGGUGCUGACCCUUGCGAAUUCCCCAAAUGCGGGAAUCUCGACUGUAAGGGGCAGUCGUGGGCUGGAGGUUAGGGAUCUGGCCCUGU